UACAGAGGUCUCAAGCGUUGUUCGGAUUCAUUGGGCGUAAAGGGUGCGUAGGUGGCGCUGUAAGUCGGGUGUGAAAUUUCGGAGCUCAACUCCGAAACUGCAUUCGAUACUGCGGUGCUUGAGGACUGGAGAGGAGACUGGAAUUCAUGGUGUAGCAGUGAAAUGCGUAGAGAUCAUGAGGAAGACCAGUGGCGAAGGCGGGUCUCUGGACAGUUCCUGACGCUGAGGCACGAAGGCCAGGGGAGCAAACGGG
rnacentral:rRNA from 1 species